rnacentral:tRNA from 1 species
GCGGAUGGAUCACCUCCUAACAGGGAGACAAACAAUGAUUUUGAUGCCUGAGUGUUUUUAUUCUUAGGCCGAAAUCCUGUCACCUUAUGGUCGAUCGGUACCUCAGCUUUGAAGUUAAGAAACUGCAGCAAUGUGGUUUGCUUGAUGGAAAUUUUCAGUUCCUAAACUUUGUCUAGGUCACACCCCACAAGGGUUGAGUCUCCUGGGCCAUUAGCUCAGGUGGUUAGAGCGCACCCCUGAUAAGGGUGAGGUCCCUGGUUCAAGUCCAGGAUGGCCCAUUCGGUGUUGGGGGUUUAGCUCAGUUGGUAGAGCGCCUGCUUUGCAAGCAGGAUGUCAGGAGUUCGAGUCUCCUAACCUCCACUGACCGAACUCAAUCUCCAUUGUCCGUAAUUGGAGGAUGAACUCGAGUGUGGUUUGUGAUUUAGAUAUGUCCGCUGGAAGACCCCAGCUUCCUGUCAUUCCAAAGAAUGAGUAUUCACUCAGAAUUUGGUUGAUAAGAUGCUGGGCUCGAACUGAGCAAUCAGUUUGAUUUCUAGCAGAACCUUGACAACUGCAUAGGAAAGUCUGGAAAAAACAAAGCAUCUUACAGAUGCAUUGUUUUGAGUUUGAUCUUUCGAAAGGAAGAUUGAAUCCAGAGCAAUGAACAAUUCUUUUGAGCAAGAGCCGAGACUCUUGAGCGUUCUUGGAUU